rnacentral:rRNA from 1 species
GAUGAACGCUGGCGGCGUGCCUAAUACAUGCAAGUCGAGCGAACGGACGAGAAGCUUGCUUCUCUGAUGUUAGCGGCGGACGGGUGAGUAACACGUGGAUAACCUACCUAUAAGACUGGGAUAACUUCGGGAAACCGGAGCUAAUACCGGAUGAUAUUUUGAACCGCAUGGUUCAAAAGUGAAAGACGGUCUUGCUGUCACUUAUAGAUGGAUCCUCGCUGCAUUAGCUAGUUGGUAAGGUAACGGCUUACCAAGGCAACGAUGCAUAGCCGACCUGAGAGGGUGAUCGGCCACACUGGAACUGAGACACGGUCCAGAAUCCUACGGGAGGCAGCAGUAGGGAAUCUUCGGCAAUGGGCGAAAGCCUGACGGAGCAACGCCGCGUGAGUGAUGAAGGUCUUCGGAUCGUAAAACUCUGUUAUUAGGGAAGAACAUAUGUGUAAGUAACUGUGCACAUCUUGACGGUACCUAAUCAGAAAGCCACGGCUAACUACGUG